GAUGGCUUAUAGGCCGGCCCCGCCUUCCUACUACUCCGCUGGCCCUGCAGCGCCGGUGUUCGCACUGGAGCUGAGCGGUCUGCUUUAGCACUGAACUCGGAGGAGCAGAGACGAAGGCUACACAGAAGAAUGGAGACCUGGCCUCUGAUCGGGAGUAACGGCUCACAGUCCCCGCCGGUGGGAUCCCGGUAGCGUGCUCAGUGGCCAUAGUGGCCACCUGUCCUCCCAGGAGGGUCCCAAGCCCUCCAUGGAGUGGCUCAGAAUGAGGGAGGAGGGCUCAGGCAAGGAAGACCACAAAGAUGAUGAAGAAGACAAUGAGGAUGAGGAAGAUUUUGACCAUGAGCCACCGAUUGGAGGUGACUGACUGGAAGUACUUGAGGAUCUCUGAAUGGGCGGCCUCAACAUCCAGCUGGGCUCCAAGCACAUUCUCAUCGAUCCUGGAAAUAGGAGAUAAAAUAAGAGGAAGGUCAAAGACAUCCAUUUAUUGAUAUGGAAAGGUGAUCACAAUAUGUGGAAGUAAAAAGUGUUUCAUACUAUGUGAA